GUCCCGCCUGCCCUGUGACAUAUGUUUAACGGCCGCGGUAUUUUGACCGUGCAAAGGUAGCGCAAUCACUUGUCUUUUAAAUGGAGACCUGUAUGAAUGGCAUAACGAGGGCUUAACUGUCUCCUUUCUCCUGUCAAUGAAAUUGAUCUCCCCGUGCAGAAGCGGGGAUACGCCCAUAAGACGAGAAGACCCUGUGGAGCUUUAGACACUAAGACAGCUUCCGUUAAAAAGGCUCAUCUGCCUACAACACUACCCUGUCUCACUGUCUUUGGUUGGGGCGACCGCGGAGAACUACGAAACCUCCAUGUGGACCGAGAGCACCUUCUCUUACAACUAAGAGUUCCAACUCCAAGUAACAGAAUUUCUGACCAAACAUGAUCCGGCAAAGCCGAUCAACGGACCGAGUUACCCCAGGGAUAACAGCGCAAUCCUCUUUUAGAGCCCAUAUCGACAAGAGGGUUUACGACCUCGAUGUUGGAUCAGGACAUCCUAAUGGUGCAGCCGCUAUUAAGGGUUCGUUUGUUCAACGAUUAAAG
rnacentral:rRNA from 1 species